GACGGAGGAUGCAAGUGUUAUCCGGAAUCACUGGGCGUAAAGCGUCUGUAGGUGGUCAAAUAAGUCAACUGUUAAAUCUUGAGGCUCAACCUCAAAAUCGCAGUCGAAACUAUUCGACUAGAGUAUAGUAGGGGUAAAGGGAAUUUCCAGUGGAGCGGUGAAAUGCGUAGAGAUUGGAAAGAACACCGAUGGCGAAGGCAGAUCUCUGGGCCGUAACUGACGCUGAGGAGCGAAAGCAUGGGGAGCGAACAGG
rnacentral:rRNA from 1 species